rnacentral:rRNA from 1 species
GGACAGAAUGGGAGCUUGCUCCCUGCAUGUUAGCGGCGGACGGGCUGAGUAACACGUGGGGUAACCUGCCUGUAAGACUGGGAUAACUCCGGGAAACCGGGGCUAAUACCGGAUGGUUGUUUGAACCGCAUGGUUCAGACAUAAAAGGUGGCUUCGGCUACCACUUACAGAUGGACCCGCGGCGCAUUAGCUAGUUGGUGAGGUAACGGCUCACCAAGGCGACGAUGCGUAGCCGACCUGAGAGGGUGAUCGGCCACAAUGGGACUGAGACACGGCCCAGACUCCAACGGGAGGCAGCAGUAGGGAAUCUUCCGCAAUGGACGAAAGUCUGACGGAGCAACGCCGCGUGAGUGAUGAAGGUUUUCGGAUCGUAAAGCUCUGUUGUUAGGGAAGAACAAGUGCCGUUCAAAUAGGGCGGCACCUUGACGGUACCUAACCAGAAAGCCACGGCUAACUACGUGCCAGCAGCCGCGGUAAUACGUAGGUGGCAAGCGUUGUCCGGAAUUAUUGGGCGUAAAGGGCUCGCAGGCGGUUUCUUAAGUCUGAUGUGAAAGCCCCCGGCUCAACCGGGGAGGGUCAUUGGAAACUGGGGAACUUGAGUGCAGAAGAGGAGAGUGGAAUUCCACGUGUAGCGGUGAAAUGCGUAGAGAUGUGGAGGAACACCAGUGGCGAAGGCGACUCUCUGGUCUGUAACUGACGCUGAGGAGCGAAAGCGUGGGGAGCGAACAGGAUUAGAUACCCUGGUUAGUCC